CUACUAACUUUGUGGAUGCUAGGAACGCCUUCAAGAAAGCAGGUUAGGGGCUCAGGUUUCCUCUGGCAUUCCAGACCCAUGGAUUUUCCAUCCUCUGGAGCUGCUGCGGGAGAUGGGAGCAUGCUUAAGCCACCUGUAUUUUGGUAUGUGGUUUCCUCAACUGUUACAGGCGGAUCCUCUCAGCACUUUUGGGAGUGAGCUGGGAUGCCAUCGGCAGGAUUUUCCCGUGAUUCCUGGAGCUGAGAGUUGCUUUGGCAUGCAAAGUUCACCUCGUGUACGUGUAUUGGAUGACAUUGGAUCCCUUCCUUCUGUGCAAGAAUCCCUGUGCUGAGCCCAGCUCUGAGCAUGUGGCUUCAGAAGGGUCAUGAGUUGCGCUUCAUGCGUGCAUUCCAUUUUCUUUGGGUCUGUUCAGAGCCAAGCUGGGUUGAACAUUCUGAGGUUGAUGAGAGGAGAUGGUCUGGCUUUUCCCUUGUGAUUGGGCAUGCUUUGGUGUUCCUGAGCAGCUAUUGCGCUCAUUAGUCCCUUGUGGCACCAUGCUGGGUUGGUUUGGGUGACUGGGCAAUGGGGUAACCCGAGGAGAAAGCGGAUCUAUUCUCCUGGAGGAUUGGCUUAAUCUCCCAGAGAUUUAUGUUCUCGUGAUCCAUUCUCAACCUGGGUUUUCCUCUCUGGAGUGCCCGUGCGAACCGGAGUUCGAAUGGCCCUGCUCCCUACUUCCGUGUUGUGGUCUGGCCUUCAAGAAGGUGAAGGCUGAGGCUGCCACUUCCAAAAGGGGCAAACCUCUUCCCAAAUACCGAGUUAGGGAUGAGGGCUUAGGGGGAAGCAGAGGCUGAGCCUGCCACUUCCUAAGGGAACAAACUCCUUCCUGAAUACCAGGAAUUGGGAAUGGUGCUGUGCGGGAUGGAGCCUUCGGGAAGGUAAGGCUGCUUUUCACCUGGGAGUUACAUAAGGUAUUCCAAAGCGCUGCAAGCUCCUGCUCUCCAGUAGGCUACAAUGGGAGCACUGGGAUCCAGCUCUGCUCUCUUCUGCUCUGCCUUUAGCCCGCAUCCCAUGUCCCUGUGGCUGUGGCACUUGGAUGGCAGCUUUGGAGCUGCCUGGCCCCCUGGUUGGAAGGUGCCGUGAGCCCAACAGCUGGGAGCAGUUAGAAAAAGAUCCAGCUUCCAGAACCUGGCAUGUAGCUGCAGCGGAAUUCCUCCCCUGCCUGUGUGGAGAUGGCAUCUUCCUGAAUUUGAGCAAAACACUGUGCCCAUCUUUGGGGCAUCUGGGUGCGUCUCUGAGGUGGGAGCAUGUCUGCCUCCAUCUUCUGGGAUGAAACAUCCCAGUGGGGUCUAGAUCCAGGGUUAAAUCCUAGCGUGGGAGGAGGCUGUGCAGCUGCUGUGGGACUUCUCUCUGCUUUCCAUGCAUUUUGGGAUGUGCCUAGCGCCCUACACCCUGAACAAAGCAGAGAAUUCCCAAAUCCUGGAAGUGGCAGAUUCUUGCAAGGCAUUUUGUGGCAGGGUUCCAUAUCCCACUUCCUGCAGCCCAUGCUAGUCAUUGUCCCAGAGCGGAGCUGGACCUGUUCCCUCUACCAGCCUUGGGUGCAGAUGUUGCUGGUCUGGGUACAUUUUCCCCAUUGGCUGACAAUCCUCUAACAGGAUGGUUCUGCCAGGAUUCCAGAUGCCACAGUAGAUGAUUGCCCUCGCUCACAGCAUCCAGAAUCUUCACUGCGUGCAGUGUCCGGUUGGCAAGUGUUCUGUUGCUUCCCCUCAGCCUGGCCACUGCGCAGAUGCCACCAGUGCUGUACUGGAUCUAUUUCCCAUUCUAUGUCCCAGUGCAACCGGGGAAUGGGUCUGUUUCGUUGUCCAGACUCAGUCAUCUCCAUUUGGAUUUUCCAGCCCCUCCUGUGUCCCCGAUUCCUUUGCGUUUUGGCUUUCCCCAAUGCGUUGCUGAUGCCCAAUGGCCGUUUUCCAGCCAGUGUUGGGUUCUUCAGAGCCUCCUGUUGGUUUCAGCGGCUCCGCUUCCAUGUCAGCCCUGGGUUGGUGCUGUGGACACCUGUGACCUCCCCAUCCUCACAGCUUAUGUUUCCCUUAGGGAUAUAUGCUGAGGCAUACACCUGCUGGUGGGCAAAUCUUUGCAGGAGUUAUACUGCCUCCCGUCCGCUUUGGAACUUCAACAACAAAACGUGUCCCAUUCCUCUUUUUUUCUGUCUUUAAUUUGCCAACAGAAGAGGAAAAAUAGGGUUUUGUAGAACCAAAACCAUCAUCAGGAAUAAAUGGAAGGGAUUCUGCAAUUUAAAGGGAACGUGGACGCAGUUAAAUCACAAAUUUAACCCCAAUCCAUGUCACAAUGACCAGAUCCCAAGGAUUUGUGCCCCAAAUGGCUGGGAAUGCAGCUGUGUUGCCUUGGGAGGCUGGAGGGCCGGAAAGAAGCACUGCUUUUGUGCAGGCCCCUGCCCCUUUUCCAGAGGCCGUAAACUGCUUGUUCUGAGCCAUUGAAAUCUACAUGGGCAUGGUGAGCAUGGCUGUGAGGGAGAAGGGGGAGGCCGAAGGCUCAGAGGUGGGAAUGGGGAGGCUUAGGAAGUGGUGCUGCCUUUUGGGGUAGGAAGCAGUGCUUUUGGAAGGAUUUUGGGGACAAACCCAACAGUUUUGUCUGGCUUUGGAGCUGAAUCCAGCACCCAGCAAGAAAUGGAGGCAAACAUGUGAUAGGCAGGGGCUGGGAAUGGCACCUUUGGCAAUGAUUCCUGCCUUCGGAGCAGCUUUCCCACUCCGCUUAGGUUUGUAGAGCUCUUGCCGGCUCCAGGCAUUCCUAUCCACUUGCAGGACCAGUUCAGCAUUGCUGUGAAGCUCCACAUACCCAUAGUGGAAAUCUAUGAGGUGGAGCUGGUAGACAUUGAAAACAUAAAAAAGGAGAAUGCUGUAGGGAAUGGCAUCCAGCAUCGGGGCCUCCUCUGUCUUCUGAGAAUGCCAGGCAGGAGGUGGGAGCAGUGAGAACCCUGAGCCAUCGUGGCUGGGAUAGGUAUGCUGGCUUUUGCUUCCCGCAAAAACAUUUCAGCUGCCUCCGAGGUGGCUUUGAGCCCCAAAUCCCGAGGAUGCUUCCAGGGAGUAUGAUCAGAAUGGCCUUGAGGCCACUGUUAAUGAAAGGAAAAAGUACUGUGGGCUUGCAUGGGCAUUUGGGAAGUGCAAUUGGAGCCAUCCAAGAAGAAACUGCUGCUACUUCUAGAGGCAGCCAAGCUUUCUGACUGCCCAGAGUGUCGGCAUUGCCUCCAUUGGUGCUGCUCCUGCCCCUGUGGCUCCAGAUUCUGACUGGGGUGUGGUUUUUGUACUCUUGGGAGUAAACCAGGUUCAUUUUAAAGGCACCUGGCACUGCCUCAGCGUUGCAGAUCCUCAGCUGUGUGGUGUCCCCUUCUCCAGGUGCUGUGGGGGUGAGGACCAGCUCCUUGGUUCUUUUGCAGGUGCUGGAGAAGAGCAUCGAGGUGGUGGAGGUCAAGGUCAGAGUGGGAGCUGCUGGAGGGGCUGGUGAGCCACCAGGACGCAGGGCUGAAGGAGGAUCUGCACUGUCAUGACCAGCCACCUCCAGCUCAGCACAGGAAUGCCUGUGAGGAAGCUUCCAGUGGAAGGUGGACAAGGAGCAGGAGGUGGUGGUGCUGAGUGGGGAGCUCAAGAGCCUCAGAUCAAAGAGAUAGUGGGAAGGCACAUGAAGGGGAUGCUGAGAAG